rnacentral:tRNA from 1 species
AGUUAAUUAGCUUUAUAAAGUUUUUAUUUUGAAAAUAAAAGAAAGAAAUUAAUUUUUCUAUUAACUU